AAAUUUCGCACCCACUCAAGGAGCUUACAUCCUCCCAGAACAGAAGUUUGGAGGGGAGCAUGAAAGAAACAGAAGUCAGGCGAUUUAUCAGAAUGAGACAGGCAUGUAUAGCGUGGAGUUCAGCCUUCAGUCCAUCUGCAGCGCUCCUUCUGAGGUGUUACUCCCUUGUGUUAGUGAACUGCUGCUCCUCAAGUGGCUCCGCUGGAGGGUUCUGGCCCCGAUGA
ensembl:lncRNA